rnacentral:lncRNA from 1 species
UUGCAUGUUGAUGGGUAAUACAGGCCAUAUUAAAAUUAGGUUUUCAUUUAGUUAUGAUAUAAACCAUGCCCAUUUUCACCUGAUAUUCCUUGUGAUUCCCAGCAUGUGUUUAUGAGAUGGUUGAUAGAAUCAUUGGGGGAAAGUAUGGCAGUGACUGGCUCCAAUGGGGGGGGACCAAGCCCUUAAUUUGAUUGAAAUGAUGGUCUUUUUGUGUGUUCGCCUCCCUCCGAGCUGACUAUAACCAGCUUUGCCUUUUGAGCUGGCUGGUAUCUGUGUAGGUCAUAAAAUGUGAUGUUCUUAAAAUUCAUAUUUUAGAGAAUAGACUCUUGAAGUGGAAUUAUCAUUUAAAGCAAUUUAUUCUCUUUUUCAUUUUGGAUUUUCCUCCCUUGCACUCCUGGCCCAUCUCAGGAGCAUCGUGCAGCACGUCACCAGGGUGGUCCAUUCCAGCCGCAGAUUCAUUUGUCAUACUUGUACGACAGUCUCCUCCUCCACCGCCACUGCAGGGGAGUGCAUCACCUAUCAGCAUUCUGGAGCAGAAUGGAAGAGUUUAUUUUGAGGCCGCAAAAGUAGUGCUGCUACAGACAGAUCAUGAACGAGCGAGAGUGAGAGAGUGGACUUCAUUUCCAAAGGUCUUGAAACACAAAUGAUUUUUGGUAAGUCAUCUGAAGGGCUUGGCAUUUGUUACCUUUAAAUCUCAUCAGUCAUCAUUUAUUUACUGUCCCAGGACAUAUUAUUCAAGUGCAUAGCUAUUUCUCUACAACCCAAGCAGCGAGAUGUUUCAGAAAACGUUCUAGCCAUAGAGAGCCAAAAGGGCAACCAAAUUGACUUAAUGUGUUUGUUUUCGGAGACUUGCAGACAAGUAGGACCUGAGUAGAAUGCGUUUGUAGACUUAAUAAGAUGAAAGACAGAAAAGAAACAGAAAAGCAAUCCACCUCUUCCAGAUACUCCCUUUUAACGGAAAGUAUCAGGAAUUACUCAUACAAGAGACAUUUGAUGCAAUCUGAUG